UUACCAGGGUUACUGAAGGAUAAAUGGCCUUCCACAACCACCUUACUCUUGUGCAGAAAAUACUGCUGGCAAUUUUUUGUUUUCCUCUGCUUCCAUUCUACCUGUGGUAUGUGUGCUUCUGUGCCAGUGAAGACAAAAACGAUAAAGAUGAUAGCCAGGAAUACAAACUUGAGCGCAGGGAGAAGGCCAGAGCAGAUGCGGUUGAUGGACACAGUGAUAAGGG